rnacentral:rRNA from 1 species
GACGAACGCUGGCGGCGUGCUUAACACAUGCAAGUCGAACGGACAGGCCCUGCUUUUGUGGGGUGCUCGAGAGGCGCAGGGGUGAGUAACACGUGUGUAUAAUGCCCUUGUCUUUCGGAUAACUUUAGGAAACUGGGGCUCUUACCGGAUAGGAGAUAUUGCUGCAUGGUGUGGGUUGGAAAGAUUCGGCGGUUGGGGAUGGACUCGCGGCUUAUCAGCUUGAUGGUGGGGUAGUGGCUUACAAAGGGUUUGACGGAUAGCCUGCCUGGGAGGGGGACCGGCCACAAUGGGACUGAGAGACGGCCCAGACGGCAACGGGAGGCAGCAGUGGAGAGUAUGGCACAAUGGGCGGAAGCCAGAGACAGCAACGCCGCGUGCGGAAUAACGUCCUUCGGGUGAUAAACCGCUGUCGCCUGUGACGAAGCGUGAUUGACGGUAAUUGGUAAAGAAGCACCGGCUAACUACGUG